rnacentral:rRNA from 1 species
GAAACCGGAGCUAAUACCGAAUAACCCAGUGAACUGCAUGGUUCACUGGUAAAAGGCGGUUUCGGCCGUCACUCAUGGAUGGGCCCGCGGCGCAUUAGCUAGUUGGUAAGGUAACGGCUUACCAAGGCAACGAUGCGUAGCCGACCUGAGAGGGUGAUCGGCCACACUGGGACUGAGACACGGCCCAGACUCCUACGGGAGGCAGCAGUAGGGAAUCUUCCGCAAUGGACGAAAGUCUGACGGAGCAACGCCGCGUGAACGAUGAAGGUCUUCGGAUCGUAAAGUUCUGUUGUUAGGGAAGAACAAGUACCAGAGGAAAUGCUGGUACCUUGACGGUACCUAACCAGAAAGCCACGGCUAACUACGUGCCAGCAGCCGCGGUAAUACGUAGGUGGCAAGCGUUGUCCGGAAUUAUUGGGCGUAAAGCGCGCGCAGGCGGUUUCUUAAGUCUGAUGUGAAAGCCCACAGCUCAACUGUGGAGGGCCAUUGGAAACUGGGGAACUUGAGUACAGAAGAGGAGAGUGGAAUUCCACGUGUAGCGGUGAAAUGCGUAGAUAUGUGGAGGAACACCAGUGGCGAAGGCGACUCUCUGGUCUGUAACUGACGCUGAGGCGCGAAAGCGUGGGUAGCAAACAGGAUUAGAUACCCUGGUAGUCCACGCCGUAAACGUUGAGUGCUAGGUGUUAGGGGGUUUCCGCCCCUUUAGUGCU